AGGAAAUCGGAGUAAUUUGUGAGUAACACAGAACAUCUUUCAGGAGCAGGGACACAACUCCACGUUUAACCUGACAUGUUAUCACUUUCACCUCAUUAUGGUAUACAUGCUCGCUUAAAUGGACACACCACUGCCAGACGGUCUGCUGUCACCCAGUCAGCACAGUCUCAAGAGCAGGAGACUUCACUCUAGGAGAGCUGGACGGGUCCAUAGAAGGUCCUUAACCCAUCAGCAGGACUAUUACUGCUCCUUUGUGCAAGAAGGAGCAGGAGGAGCAGGAUAAGCAUGGCCAGAGCUACAGAAUGACCUCCAGCAGGCCACCAGCGUGAAUGUCUCAGACCAAACAGAAACUUUAUGGGGGCAUUUUUUAAGCGGGGCCUGUGCUCACUUCCCCCACAGUGGAGCAAGAUUGGCAUGCAGAACAGAAUACCAGAAUUGGCAGCUACACCACUGAUGCCCUCUGCUUUUCACAGAUGAGAGCAGGUUCACCCUGAGCACAUGUGACAGAUGUGCAAGGGUCUGAAGAAGACGUGGACAAUGUUAUGCUGACCGUCUCAUCAUUCAGCAUGACCGGUUUGAUGGUAGGUCAGUGAUGGUGUGGGGAGGCAUAUUUAUGGUGGACGGUACCCUGACUGCCAUCAGGUAUUGGGAGAAUUUUGGACCCUGUGUUGGUACAGUGGGUCCUGGGUUCCUCGUGGUACACAACAAUCCCCGGCCUCGUGGGUAGAAUAUAUUCAGGCUGUUCCAGGAGGAUGAAGGAAUCAACAGUACUGAAUGCCCCCCAUGCUGGCCUGACCUAAAUCCAACAGAACACCUGAGACAUCAUGUUUCAGUCCAUCUGAUGCCACCAGGGUUCAUCUCAAACCACCCAAGGGUUCAGUGAUUACCUGGUCCAGGUCUGGGAGGAGAACCCCCAGGGCAGACACAUGGAGGUUAUAUAAAUGACCGAGUACCAUUUCUUAGUUGCUGCAAUGAAAUUUUAGCUAAACGGACUAGCCUGCAGCAUCAUUUCUUUCACUUUGAUUUUUUGGUGUGUUUUUGAUUUCAGCCCUCUGUAGGCUGAUAAUUUUAGACAUUCAGCAUGAUUUUAUUCCCAACUGAGAUCUGAUGCAUUUUCUAAGUGUUCCUUUAAUUUUGAGUAGCAUUAUGCAAAAGAUAUCAUCUUACUCUGAAGAGGUCAGGUGAGAGGCACUUGCUCACAAGAGGAUAAAGUCAAGAAUAUCUUUAGCUUUGCUUUCCUUCCAGCAGUCUCAAACUAUGUCUGUGUGGUGCUUUGGAGCUGGACAGGAAGUACCGUUUUUUUCCCUCGAGUACAGCCAGCCAGGUGCCAGCUCCUAAAAUAUUUAAGUACCUGAUACAAAUUUUAAAAAAAUGAUUAAGGCUGUGGUGAAUAUCAGAGCAUCAGUUUGCAAUUUCUGGAACAACCUUAUCCCUAAACUGUAAAAGUGCCGACCACUAAUUCUCCUCCUAAAGCCCUGUGGACGCCCUACUAAUUGUGCUCUGCCAAUCUGGGUCAGCCCAGCAGGAUAAGGCUGGAUCACUGGCACCAUUUGCUGAAAGAAGACUCCUCCUUCAACCUUGAAUGUACUGAGGCAGUGGCAAGAAAGCUUUGCUUGUUCCCUCUGACUGAAAGCCUAAAAUAAGAGUAUCCACUGACUGCUAUUGCAACCACAUUACUGUCCAUUUACCUUAAAGACCUUAGAGGAGACAGCUGAGCUCCUGCAAAGAGGUCAGAAUGACAGCAGGCUUCACUGGGAGAAAGUGAGGAACGGGAGUGCUGAGGAAUGUCGUUUAAACACUCGGGCUGUGAUUUAAUUAUUGUUACAGUAGUGGCGAACAUAUAGAUAGCUGGAAGAAAAGGUGAGUCACUCUUAAAUAGAAGGAACACGCUCUCGUGCUCAUGUACUCUGGCAGAACUUAAAAAGAGAUGUCAAGCACAGACUGGAGAUUAAACAGCCAAGAAUGUGCCACGCCUGUGUAACACCUCACAGCACAUGAAGAAAGUGAAAGGGCAGUGUCACAGUGUACAAAAGGAGGGGGGAUUUAACAAGGCAGUCUGAAUAUAUGAAAACAGUUUAGAAAACUGAAUUAUAUAAGCUGUGUUUUAAAAGCAGCUGUCCCGAAGUAUAAAACAGUCAUCUGCUCCUCGUCCACGUCUUCACAUUUUCAUCUGAGAAUAAGAGUGUGCUGUUCUUGGCAGGCAGCUAGGCCCUCAGCGCUGUGCGAUUCUGUUUUUGUCUCUGAACACACCCCGCCCGCAGUCUGCUGGACGCUCUGAGGUAGCCGAGUGACAGAUCCACCAGACCAGCUGCUGGACAGUCAGGACUCCAGGCUUGAUGGGCUUUUAAAACAUGUCAAUCUUCCUCUGAUUUGCCAUCUUAAUAAAAACCAAGAAACCCCAAAUGUCUCUUUAAAAAGGGAAGACACACCAACACGGAGAUUAAAUAAACUUAGGACAGAUGACUUUAAAACCUUCUCCAGGUGCAUACCAAUCAAGCAAAAUAAGGUUUAAACUCGAGUUUAACUGCAGAUAAACUUCACUCUUCUGCCUGCAGACUCCAUGGUUUGCAAUUUUUGCUCUCACUGUUUACCGAAGAGCGCAAACAGCAACAGCUGUGCUUACCCGUGUUCAGAAGGACACAAGUUUACAUAAUGAAACAUGACGACUCCCUUCUAGCUCCAGUUCUGUGGCUCUUAUUUAAGCGUCAUAUUUAAUGAUUUUUAAUAUUUCCAUUUUUCCUGUCAAGUCCAAAAUGCACAGCCGUGCUCGAGUGUUCGGAUUAUACCGUGUUUUACAUGCGCUCUGACACACAGCGCGCACACAGACACACACUUGCCGUUAUUACAUCUGCUUUUGUUUUAAUACGGAAGCUAUUUUUGAAAGCAUUCCAGUUGAGUGAUGCAGACUCUCAAAUCCAUCCUCUGCCUGCGUCUGAACUCCAUAUUUAGAGGCACACAGGCUGAACUACACAUGCCUUCCAAUCAGCCUUUUGCUGAACGCAGACAACCUGGUAGAGCAACUAAACUUGUUUUACUAGAUCACACUGAAGCCAAAUAUUGGCACUCUUAAAAGGAUGAACCGGAUGGCACCUCAAGACACGGUGACUUCAAUCGGUUAAGAGCAACUAACUCUUCGCUCUUUGCUCUCAGUGACAAGGCUUAUUAUAGUUUUGUCUCUCAUAUAACGCAUCUAAACUUGUGCAAAAGAAAAUGAAGACUGGAACAAACCUGUCCAUAAGUGUGGGUGUAUAUUUGUUUGAAUUUAUCAUAAAGAUUAUGUGAACAAAGGCUCACAAAAUGAACGAUCUAAAUCCUAAUUAAUUACCUAACUGAGGAAAUGUAAUGAGGUUGAAUGAGGUGAAGUGAAGAGUGCUUAGUGCAUUGGAAAUGCACAUUACAGUCCUGUGGGGGAUUAGCAACAGGCUUUCCUGAAGGCUUCCUGGGUCUAACACUCAAUCUACACAGCAGGAGCUGUGUGCUAAUAGGCAAACUAAUUAGGAAAUAGAAAAAUCUAUGUUUAACAUACAGAUAACUGGGGCCUGGUGGAUGCUCUGUGUCUCUGAGCAUUUUUAGGUCAUCCGUGAAUAUUCUGGACCAGAUAAAAUUAUGAAGUUAAUAAUAGCCAAAGCACAUCCCCUCAGUCCCUCUUUCAGUUCCGAAAACAACAUCCCAUCAGUGCCUCUUAAGUGCA